GACGAACGCUGGCGGCGUGCUUAACACAUGCAAGUCGAACGGAAAGGCCCUGCUUUUGUGGGGUGCUCGAGUGGCGAACGGGUGAGUAACACGUGAGUAACCUGCCCUUGACUUUGGGAUAACUUCAGGAAACUGGGGCUAAUACCGGAUAGGAGCUCCUGCUGCAUGGUGGGGGUUGGAAAGUUUCGGCGGUUGGGGAUGGACUCGCGGCUUAUCAGCUUGUUGGUGGGGUAGUGGCUUACCAAGGCUUUGACGGGUAGCCGGCCUGGGAGGGUGGCCGGCCACAAUGGGACUAAGGGACGGCCCAGAAUCCUACGGGAGGCAGCAGUGGGAAGUAUUGCACAAUGGGCGGAAGCCUGAUGCAGCAACGCCGCGUGCGGGAUGACGGCCUUCGGGUUAAAAACCGCUUUCGCCUGUGACGAAGCGUGAGUGACGGUAAUGGGUAAAGAAGCACCGGCUAACUACGUG
rnacentral:rRNA from 1 species